rnacentral:rRNA from 1 species
GAGUUUGAUCAUGGCUCAGGAUGAACGCUAGCGGCAGGCUUAACACAUGCAAGUCGAGGGGUAACAGGGAGUGCUUGCACUCUGCUGACGACCGGCGCACGGGUGCGUAACGCGUAUGCAACCUACCUUCUACAGGGGGAUAGUCCAGAGAAAUUUGGCAUAAUACCCCAUACGAUCAUUUAUUGGCAUCGAUAGAUGAGGAAAACUCCGGUGGUAGAAGAUGGGCAUGCGUCCUAUUAGUUAGUUGGUAAGGUAACGGCUUACCAAGACAUCGAUAGGUAGGGGUCCUGAGAGGGAGAUCCCCCACACUGGUACUGAGACACGGACCAGACUCCUACGGGAGGCAGCAGUGAGGAAUAUUGGACAAUGGAGGCAACUCUGAUCCAGCCAUGCCGCGUGCAGGAAGACGGCCCUACGGGUUGUAAACUGCUUUUAUACAGGAAGAAACGCCGCUACGUGUAGCGGUUUGACGGUACUGUACGAAUAAGGAUCGGCUAACUCCGUGCCAGCAGCCGCGGUAAUACGGAGGAUCCAAGCGUUAUCCGGAAUCAUUGGGUUUAAAGGGUCCGUAGGCGGUUUUUUAAGUCAGAGGUGAAAUCCUGCAGCUCAACUGUAGCAUUGCCUUUGAUACUGAAAGACUUGAGUUAUUGUGAAGUAGUUAGAAUGUGUAGUGUAGCGGUGAAUGCAUAGAUAUUACACAGAAUACCGAUUGCGAAGGCAGAUUACUAACAAUAUACUGACGCUGAGGGACGAAAGCGUGGGUAGCGAACAGGACUAGAUACCCUGGUAGUCCACGCCGUAAACGAUGGAUACUAGCUGUUCGACCAACAUUGGUUGGUUGAGUGGCUAAGCGAAAGUG